AAAAACGCCCUUUUCAGGGCGACAAAAUCAUUACAUAAAGAGUUAU
rfam:Lutzomyia longipalpis Contig19914, whole genome shotgun sequence.